GGAGAGGUGUCCGAGCCCGGCCGAAGGAGCACGAUUGGAAAUCGUGUGUACUAGCAAAACUGGUACCGAGAGUUCGAAUCUCUCCCUCUCCG
rfam:Desulfovibrio sp. JC271 contig9, whole genome shotgun sequence.